GAACCGUGGUGAGGACAAUCCCUCUGAUAACCCUUAAAUCGCUCCCACGAAGCCUUGAAUGCUUCGGUUGGACCCUGAACGAAUGAAGAGAUCUAGGCUCUCAAUUC
rfam:Arabis alpina cultivar Pajares chromosome 6, whole genome shotgun sequence.